rnacentral:rRNA from 1 species
UCCUUUAGAAUUUUAUUUAAGGUUUGACCUGCCCACUGAUUUAUUGAAUGGCCGCAGUUUUUUAACUGUGCAAAGGUAGCAUAAUCCUUAGUUUUUUAAUUGGGGGCUGGAAUGAAUGGUUGGAGGAAAUAUUGACUGUUUCACUUUAAUUUUUUAUAGAAUCUUAUUUUUUAGUUAAAGAGCUAAAAUUUAUUUAAAAGACGAGAAGACCCCAUAAAUCCGCCAUUUUUUUAAAAAAGGAAACUUUAGGUAGCAAUUUUUUUUUUUUUGUCAUAAGAGAACAUUGGGGUGAUAUUAAAAUUUAAUGAACUGUUAUACCUAAUUUUCAGUAGUGUCAGAGUGUGUUCUCCAUUAUUGGUGAAUAAAAACAUAAGUCCCUUGGGGGAUAAGAGCGUUAUUUUUCGGAGAGUUAUAUUCGCUAAAAGGGAUUGGGACCUGGAUGGGGAUUGACAGAUGUAUUGGGGCGU